GCCACCAACCAACCUAAGGCCUGGAGGACAGAAGGUGGCAGAGAUGCCCUGGGGCUAUGAGGAACCAAGAGUUUUGGGAAUUCUCCCUGAGUCCAUGAGAAACUGCUGCAGCCACCGGAACCGCUGAGUGUACUGGACGGUAGCCCAGUGGAUGCAGGAGUAGGGUUUCCUGUGGGCCCUGGGCAGUCUCCUGACCCUGGGCAUGCUGUGGGCAGGGCUGAUUUGGGUCUGUGCAGGAGCAGAGUCCCUGGAUGGCCUCUGACCCAGAACAAAUAGGGCUCGGAAAUAAAUGGAACAGUUUCUCACUCCUAAAAUAGUUUCCGUUGUGUUUGCUUUUACAUUCUUUCCUGGCAGAUUUGCAGAAACUCAUCAAUCAUGAAACGGAGCACAAUCUACACAUAUCAUCAUGGUACCUAAUUAGACUCAAAAAAUGUGAUUAUUCAGUAAUAAGGCUUUUUUCUUAAACAUAAAGAACUUAGCUAAAUAAAUGUCAUUUGUCAAAAGGACUCACUAUGAUGGGCUAUGGACUUUACAUGUCGUUGCCAUUUUCAACAUUAUAAAGUUUUUCUUUAAAGCUUUGUUUAAUGUGGUCUUUGGGCCACCUCAGGAAGCCUCACCUCCAUUCAUUCCCAGCAGGAAUGCAGUUUGUGGCUGGGACCUGGGAAGCACUUAAUGAAUGCUGACAGAACGAACAUCUUGUUCAUCCACCCUUGUCAUCUGUCUUACCAUGAGACUGCCCAGUUUCUGCUUUCCAAAAGCAGAAUCCCUUCACAGGACAUCAAUUUGCUGCCAUCACUGAGACUCUGAAAAGAGCCUGUAGUUAGAGGCACUUUCAGAGAUAGUCCAGAAAUGUGAGUUCAGAAUUUUUCACAAGGUCAAAAGACAAAACUGAUAUGGAUUGUUUAAAAUCAUUUCAUUUAGCUAGACAUGGAGACACACACACCUAUAGUCCCAGCACUCUGGGAAGCUGAGGCAGGAGGAUCACAAGUUCCAGCCCAGCCUAGGCAAUUUAGUGACUUAGUGAGACCCUAUCUCAAAAAGGUGGGUGGGUGGAGGGUCACUGCAAAGGCCCUGAGUUCAAUCUCCAGUACAGCAAAUAAAUGAAUAAAAUCACUUCUCUCUUUUUUGUUGUUACUGGGGAUCGAACUCAGGACCUUGUUCUUUCCAAGCAGUAGGCAGCACUAAUGAGCUAAAUCCCUGGCCCAUCAUUCCACUCUUUUUUUUUUUUUUGGUACCAGGGAUCGAACUUGGGACCUUAUGCUUGUGAGGCAGGCGCCAGAACCACUGAGCUAAAUCCCCAGCCCUCAUUCCACUCUUUUAAUGAGAAAUUCUUAGGUGGAAAUUUAUUGUUACUACUUGAUUUAGCUCUGCAUUGUAAAAAGACUUUGGAAAUAACCAGGUUCCUUUUUGGAAACUUUGGCCAUCACAUUUCUUUGGAAUUGAACAAGGAGAUUCCAAAAUACACUGGGCAUGGUGGCACACACCUGCAAUCCCAGCACUCAGGAGGCUGAGGCAGGAGGAUUGCUGUGAGUUCAAGGCCAGCCUGGACUACAUAGUGAGACCCUGUCUCAAACAAAUAAAAACAAUAAAUAAAUACAUAAAGAUAAUGAAACCUGGAAUUGGGAAUGUAUAAAGUUCACUGCUUUAAAAAGCUGCAAUAGGGCUGGGGAUGUAGCUCAGUGGUGCCGCUGCCUGCCCCACAAGCACACGGUCCCAAGUUUGAACCCCGGUACCAAAAAAAAAGCUGCAAUAAUUGCUUCUUGGGCUUUUGGCUAAGAUCAAUUAUAAAAUGCUACAAUAGGUGAUACAUUUAGUUAUUCAAAUUAUGCAUUGCAAAAUUUGAGUUCAAGAAACUCAUAGCAGUGGUGCAUGCCUGUAAUCCCAGCACUUGGGAGGGUGAGGCAGAAUUGCUGUGAGUUCAAGGCCAGCCUGGGCUACAAAGCAAGACUCUAUCUUAAAAAAAUCAGUGGUGCCAUGGUUGUCUGACAAGCACAAGGUCCUGAGUUCAGUUGCUGGUACUGGGAAAAAAAAAAAAGUCAUAGGAAAAAUACUAGUUCUCAUUCUCCUCGUUCUCACAUACAGCUGGCAGGGACACUGGUGUAAAGUCCCGGUACUUGUCCUGACCCAGUAGGGAAACAUUCCCGGCUAUUUCUGAGUGGUGCAGACAAAGAGAGAGAGGUGGGUUUAGACUCUGAGCCCCAGGGCAGAGACUGGGGUGAGACCACUGUCUGUGAAGAAGUCACAAGGCCAGGUGAGGACUUGCAAAUGCAGCAUGACCCACCCACCAGCCUCCUGCCCCUAGAGCAGGGACCCGCACUGGCUGCCUGCAAUGACUGUUCCUCCCCUCAGAACAAGGCUCUUUACUCCUUUCCAGGGCUUCAGCCUUCCAGUGUCCUCAACACAGGGACAUUGUCCCUGAGCUGAGAAUGUGGGAUGACAUCAUCGCACCUUCAGUGACUCCGUCUCUAAAAUGUGUCUAAAUAUACUAUAAAUCAAGCUAAUGCACUUAAAUUCUAAUCUUCCUACUUUGACAAACAGAAUUGAAGGGUGGCAGGGGAACCCAAGGGAUUUCGCCUGUUGUUUCUACUUCCUGCAGUCUUUGGCAUCCUUCGGGCAGCCAGAUCAUAGCUUCCUGAGCACGUGCUUCCCUGGUCUCCUCCUCCAGAGCUCUCCUCUCUCCCCACAGAAACAUCACCUGAGUGCUUCAGGCUUCCUGGCCAGGCCAAUACACAUUUCAUCAGUGCUUUGCCACAAAGCGGUUUUUUAAAUUCACCCAUCAAUUCUACUAUUUUCUAAAUUACUCACUUCUGCUAUUACUUGGUGAAAUACUAUAGCUUCCUCAGUGGCGUGCCAGUAAUUUUGCUCUCUUGGGGAAAAAAAUCAACUCUGCUUUGCAACAUUUGCCAAUUUCUGAGAUGUAAAUACUCCCACCAUGGCCAAUUUCAAGCUAUCAACGUGACAUCACCGAGCACGGAGUUGGGGAGAAAGCUACAGGAUGAGCUCUCCUGAGGAAAAUGACUGAGAAGACUCCAGGAAAUGCUUAGAAUGAUCACAUCUUAAAAUUGAAAAAAAUUAAAUGUCUCUAAAAUGUAACACUCUACUAACUUCACUGUGAAAUUAUCAAAAAAUCCAUCCCCUCCAAAAAAAUUCCUUUCCCAGCUGGGUGUGGUGGUCUGUGCCUGCAGUCCCAGGAAUCCUGAAAGAUCACUUGAGCUCAGUGUUUGAGACCAGCCUGGGCAAUAUAGGGGGACCCUAUCUCAAAAGCAAAAAAAAAAAAAAAAAUCAAUAUGGGGAUGGCAAUGCACAUCUGUAAUCCCAGCAAUUUGGGAGGUUGAGUCAGGAGGAUCACAAGUUCAAGGCCAGCCUUGGCAACUGUCUUACUUUUCUCAUUGCUGAGACAAAAUACCUGAUGCCCAAAGUUAAGGGAAGAAAGGUUUAUUUGGCUUAGUUUGUCUUUUUUUUGGUCCUGGGGAUUGAACUCGGGACCUUGAGCCUGCAAGGCAGGCGCUGGAACCACUGAGCUAAAUCCCCAGCCCCAAUUUGGCUUAGUUUUUAGAGGUUUCAGACCAUUGUUGGCUGGCUCCAAGGCUGGGUGGCACGGCAGAGGGAGAUGGCAGAAGAGAAACAGUUCAUGGUAGGCAGAAGGUAGCAAAGCAAGCAAGGGGCCUUAGCAGCUUCUUUCUGUCCUUUUUAUACUCUAUCUAGGCUUCUGGGAUUAGGGUGGUACCAAACCAAUCAGUGGACUGAUUCAGUAAUCACACACCCUUAAUCCCAG
ensembl:lncRNA